UUUGCUGUUUUAAUAUCUUGCAGCCCUGAUUGUCGUAGCUGUGUGGUGUGCCUUGCACAUGAGAGUGUAUUUUCUUCUUACCUCCUCUCAAACCAGCAAGGGAGUGAUGCAUUUCUUAUGAUAGCUUUGUGGAUUCAUGCUUGUACUUGUGUGUGUGUUUAUAUACUUGGUAGGAGCAUGUGCAUGUUGUUUUGUUAACUUGUAAGGUUGUGUGCAUGAGGUUGUGUGAGCUUGCACUAGGGCAGCAUGUGUAGAUACUUCUCAUGAGAUUUAGUGAAGUGAUGUGGUUUGUGCUUGUGAUCUCAAGAGUGUGG
rnacentral:lncRNA from 1 species